GAGUUUGAUCCUGGCUCAGGACGAACGCUGGCGGCGCGCCUAACACAUGCAAGUCGAACGAGCGAGAGAGAGCUUGCUUUCUCGAGCGAGUGGCGAACGGGUGAGUAACGCGUGAGGAACCUGCCUCAAAGAGGGGGACAACAGUUGGAAACGACUGCUAAUACCGCAUAAGCCCACAGCUCGGCAUCGAGCAGAGGGAAAAGGAGCAAUCCGCUUUGAGAUGGCCUCGCGUCCGAUUAGCUGGUUGGUGAGGUAAUGGCCCACCAAGGCGACGAUCGGUAGCCGGACUGAGAGGUUGAACGGCCACAUUGGGACUGAGACACGGCCCAGACUCCUACGGGAGGCAGCAGUGGGGAAUAUUGCACAAUGGGGGAAACCCUGAUGCAGCGACGCCGCGUGGAGGAAGAAGGUCUUCGGAUUGUAAACUCCUGUUGUUGAGGAAGAUAAUGACGGUACUCAACAAGGAAGUGACGGCUAACUACGUGCCAGCAGCCGCGGUAAAACGUAGGUCACAAGCGUUGCCCGGAAUUACUGGGUGUAAAGGGAGCGCAGGCGGGAAGACAAGUUGGAAGUGAAAUCUAUGGGCUCAACCCAUAAACUGCUUUCAAAACUGUUUUUCUUGAGUAGUGCAGAGGUAGGCGGAAUUCCCGGUGUAGCGGUGGAAUGCGUAGAUAUCGGGAGGAACACCAGUGGCGAAGGCGGCCUACUGGGCACCAACUGACGCUGAGGCUCGAAAGUGUGGGUAGCAAACAGGAUUAGAUACCCUGGUAGUCCACACCGUAAACGAUGAUUACUAGGUGUUGGAGGAUUGACCCCUUCAGUGCCGCAGUUAACACAAUAAGUAAUCCACCUGGGGAGUACGACCGCAAGGUUGAAACUCAAAGGAAUUGACGGGGGCCCGCACAAGCAGUGGAGUAUGUGGUUUAAUUCGACGCAACGCGAAGAACCUUACCAAGUCUUGACAUCCCUUGACGAACAUAGAAAUAUGUUUUCUCUUCGGAGCAAGGAGACAGGUGGUGCAUGGUUGUCGUCAGCUCGUGUCGUGAGAUGUUGGGUUAAGUCCCGCAACGAGCGCAACCCUUACUGUCAGUUACUACGCAAGAGGACUCUGGCAGGACUGCCGUUGACAAAACGGAGGAAGGUGGGGAUGACGUCAAAUCAUCAUGCCCUUUAUGACUUGGGCUACACACGUACUACAAUGGCGUUAAACAAAGAGAAGCAAGACCGCGAGGUGGAGCAAAACUCAGAAACAACGUCCCAGUUCGGACUGCAGGCUGCAACUCGCCUGCACGAAGUCGGAAUUGCUAGUAGUCGUGGAUCAGCAUGCCACGGUGAAUACGUUCCCGGGCCUUGUACACACCGCCCGUC
rnacentral:rRNA from 1 species